rnacentral:tRNA from 1 species
AGGGGCUGUGGCUGAGUGGCAGAGCAUCGGCUUUCCAUGCGGAAGGUCCCAAGUUCUAACCCUGGCAUCUCGG